GGGAGGCAGCAGUGGGGAAUUUUGGACAAUGGGCGCAAGCCUGAUCCAGCAAUGCCGCGUGAGUGAAGAAGGCCUUCGGGUUGUAAAGCUCUUUUGUCAGGGAAGAAACGGUGAUUUCUAAUACAGAUUGCUAAUGACGGUACCUGAAGAAUAAGCACCGGCUAACUACGUGCCAGCAGCCGCGGUAAUACGUAGGGUGCAAGCGUUAAUCGGAAUUACUGGGCGUAAAGCGUGCGCAGGCGGUUUGGUAAGACGGAUGUGAAAUCCCUGGGCUUAACCUAGGAAUUGCAUUCGUGACUGCCCGGCUAGAGUGUGUCAGAGGGGGGUAGAAUUCCACGUGUAGCAGUGAAAUGCGUAGAUAUGUGGAGGAAUACCGAUGGCGAAGGCAGCCCCCUGGGAUAACACUGACGCUCAUGCACGAAAGCGUGGGGAGCAAACAGGAUUAGAUACCCCUGUAGUCGC
rnacentral:rRNA from 1 species